rnacentral:rRNA from 1 species
AUUGAACGCUGGCGGCAUGCCUUACACAUGCAAGUCGAACGGCAGCGGGCCUUCGGGUGCCGGCGAGUGGCGAACGGGUGAGUAAUGCAUCGGAACGUGCCAUUGAGUGGGGGAUAACGUAGCGAAAGUUACGCUAAUACCGCAUAUUCUGUGAGCAGGAAAGCAGGGGACCGCAAGGCCUUGCGCUCUUUGAGCGGCCGAUGUCAGAUUAGCUAGUUGGUGAGGUAAAGGCUUACCAAGGCGACGAUCUGUAGCGGGUCUGAGAGGAUGAUCGCCACACUGGAACUGAGACACGGUCCAGACUCCUACGGGAGGCAGCAGUGGGGAAUUUUGGACAAUGGGCGCAAGCCUGAUCCAGCCAUGCCGCGUGAGUGAAGAAGGCCU